GCAUGGUGAGAGACGUGUGGGCAUUAUUAGUGGCCCUUUAAAGGCGUUGCCUUUUCUUUCUCAAUGCUGACAAACCAUUUUGGAGGGAACCAUCCCCUGUUGCUUCCUAUCAUCGAUCCCCGUGCAAGCCCCUGCAUUGUGCAAGUGCAUUAAUUAAAGACCAUUCAUUUAACAAAAGCACAUUGUAUGUUCAGGAAAGGAAGAUUAGAAAUAUGAAUCAGUAACCAAAGCCCAUUUCCGCCACGAUAUCGGGAGAAGUGGUGGGGCGGGAGGGGCGGUCAGACACGCCGAGAAGGACGGAGCAGUUUGGGACAGAAGCCCUGAACAGGUUUACAUUGCGAAGAGCCCGUUGUCGGUGUCUGAAUGUGCAGCGUUCUGCCCGGCCCUCCCCUCUCCUUUCCGAGGGGUCGAACCCGCAGUGACCCGGGGCUGAGCCCCUGCCCGGGGACCAUCGCCCCAAAUGGGAUUUUCCAGCUGUCUCUGUACACACACAUAGGGGCACAGGCACACGCAUGUUUACUCAUCCUUCCCCAUCCCUUCCCCAUUAGAUUUUUGCAGCCCAAAGGAAAACCCAGCUGGUCCGGCCAGGCCGGCCGCGACACGAGCGUGGCUUAUCGCGAUAAGGUGGAAGAGGAGCACGGAGGUUACGCGGGGGAAGGAGAGAAGCCGGCUCCCCAGCAUCGCCCACAUGACUGCUAAGCGGCUCCAGCUCCGCUAAAACCUCUGGGCCAUAUGUUAGUUUAUUUAUACCCUCUGUCUUUUCCCGUGUCGCCUGGUGCAAGGAUAUUCCUGGGAUACAAAUGAAAGUAAGCAAGAGUGAACAAACACGGGAGUGCCUGCUAAAGGGAUAUGUAACAUCGCAGAGAUCCCAACAGAGCACGGCGUUCCCAUGGUUAUAAGGGGGCCAGAAUGGCAAUUAAAGCUUUUAGUUAAAACCCUCAGAUUUUUAAUGCUGAAUGACACAUUGACUCCAUUUUCUGGUGGAUGAUUUAGAGUUUUUCACGAUUACUCUGGGGAAGGAGAAGGAGGGGGGACAACAAAAGUCACCACAAAAAAAAACCAACUCUUUCACAUUAAAAAACAAAAACAAAACCCAACCAAACAACGAACCAGCACGAGAUCAAGGUGUUCCUAAUGAUGGCAACAGCAUAUAAAAACCUCUGCAGUUUCCCCGUGACUCUGAAUUGGGUCUCGUCGUGUUCUGAGCGGUUCGAGGAAUGGGAGAGGGUCGGGACCCGCGGCUCUGGGCAUCGGGCUCCUUCCUCAGCCGCGGCUGGGAUCACGUUGGGUCAAUGCCACCCGGAGGAUCGGCUCCUCGCCGCUGCCAAACCUUCUCCGGGUCGCUGUGUCAGUGAUGCGCGGACGUGGAGAGACACCCCGGGGUGCACGGGGGGAGGGUGGGAGUCCCGACAGCGUUCCCCGACGGCACUGCGCUGCCAGCGGCCCCUGCCCCCACUCUGCUGCCCCUCGGGAUACCUGCUUGAGCCCGCCCUGAAGCCAAACAAAAGCGCACAUCUCCCCCCUUCCUCCCUCCCUCCCUCCUUCCCUCCCUCCCCACCCAGCAGUUUCGGGAAGACAAAAAAAAAAAAAAAAAAAAAAAAAAAAAAAAAAAAAAAAAAAAAAAAUUCUCCAACUUUUGACCAGCCUCUGCUGGCUUAAAUUAUCCUCUACCCUGGGGGGCAUCAGUGUAGCAAUGGGAGUUCCCGCGGGCGGCGGGGAAACGGGGUGCAGCUGAACUCGGGCAUAGCCGGGCUGCUCUGCCGCUGCCCUGCUGCUCCUCCAGGGCCGGGGGUGGUGGGGCUGGAAGUCCUGGAAGGGAACUCAGAGGGAGGGCUCGAAGGGGAGGUUUUGUUCUCUCUACCUGAAGACGGAUUAAUCCUCGCGUAUAGCUGAUAAAGAUGAAGAUCUUGCUGGGAGAAUGGGGAAAAAUCGGUAGGAAAAGAAGGAAGGAGUCACUGGAUUGUUAUUGUCUGGAAAGCAGGCCACCUUUAAAAACCUGUUGUAGAAAUACAGAGACUCCUUUAAGUGUGAAAUAUCAUUUCAUUGUAAAUAGCCAAAAAAGAGUCGGUAAUCCAACUUCCGGAAACUGUUCUGAAUUAUUUCAGCAGACUCUUUUAAAAGGGGAUUAGCAGGGCUUUAGGGGCAAAAUCCUUCUGUUUUAUUCAAUCUCUGAUUUUAUGUUAUAAUUACUAGAUGUAAAGACUCGCGAAUUAGUAUGCAGGCGUCGUCCAGACAUUAUGCAGGUGCUAUUCUAAUCAUUCAGCUUUUUAAUUAAGGAACGAGGUAAGAAAACAGAAUCAUAAAAACACUUUUGUGAGAGCUGAGAAAAUCGUGAGCGACUGCAUGAAUAAAGCCUUUAUACCUUACCCUGACAGGUCAGACACCAAUUGCCUGACUUACGACCUUUUCUUGCUGAAACAAUGGUUAACAGCUUUCUCACCUUGUUCCCAUUAUAGCCUUUAUUCUCGGAGAGAAUUUAUGGAAAUGGCCCCCAAAUGCUUACGCUAAAGAGGGGAUGCAGAAAGAUAUUGCAAUUUUAAUUGGUGCGUGUCCCGUGUAAAGAUACUUUCUUUGUGGGUCGUUCUGAAGCGGAGGGUCUCAGUCCGGCACGGGAAUUUGGGCGGACCGAGGUGCUUUGAGGGGGAGCACAGCAGCCCAGCGCCGCUGGAAGUUGCCGGGAUGCCCGGGCAGCCGGAGCGGCGGGGCCGGCGCCGGUCCCCCUUUGUUCAGCGCAUCAGAAGGCAUCGUGCUCCUUGAUCCCGCAAUGCAAACUUCAAGCCUUUGUGGUCUUU
rnacentral:lncRNA from 1 species